UACGGAGGACGCAAGCGUUAUCCGGAUUUAUUGGGUUUAAAGGGUGCGCAGGCGGACUAAUAAGUCAGUGGUGAAAUUUACAUGCUUAACAUGUGACGUGCCAUUGAUACUGUUAGACUAGUAUACAAAUGACGUAGCUGGAAUGUGUUAUGUAGCGGUGAAAUGCAUAGAUAUAACACAGAACACCGAUCGUGAAGACAGGUUACGAAUUUGUGAUAGACGCUCAUGCACGAAAGCGUGGGGAUCAAACA
rnacentral:rRNA from 1 species